rnacentral:lncRNA from 1 species
UUUUGACAAAGUAAUUUUUUCCUUUAGAACCUGAAGCAGUGUUAAGGUGUGCUUCCCCUGGAGUUGAACUUUCCAAAUCAAUGUGGCAGCUGAUGGGAGAAAGGCAGUGUCUGAGCUUUAGAAGCCUGAGGAUGUGAAGAAAGCAGAAAACUGUAUACCUGUCCCUGGCACAAUAUCUCAGCCCUCCACAAACUCAGAGAGAAAGACUUAUCUGGGAACAUAAAACUACAUGGAAGAAGAAAAGGACUUUUAAAUAUUUUAAACUUAACAUUUAAAAAUUUUCAUAAGACUCCAGUCAAACCCAAAGUCAAUCUUCUGAAGCAGACUCUACUUGACCCCGGAGGAUGCAACUGACCAGAGGCUAGUAAGCUUGCUAAAUUAUUGUGGAUAACAGGGAUGUAUGGUGACAAGAAUUUACAUAUGAACGAAAUGUGAACAGUCGGCUUAAUUUCCCUC